UACGAAGGGGGCUAGCGUUGCUCGGAAUCACUGGGCGUAAAGCGCACGUAGGCGGAUCUUUAAGUCAGGGGUGAAAUCCCAAGGCUCAACCUUGGAACUGCCUUUGAUACUGGGAUCUCGAGUCCGGAAGAGGUGAGUGGAAUUCCGAGUGUAGAGGUGAAAUUCGUAGAUAUCAGGAGGAACACCGGUGGCGAAGGCGGCUUGCUGGGCCUUACCUGACGCUGGAGGAGCGAAAGCGUGGGGAGCGAACAGG
rnacentral:rRNA from 1 species